CGCGAUUGGAGCGGCCGAUGUCGGAUUAGCUAGUAGGUGAGGUAAAGGCUCACCUAGGCGACGAUCCGUAGCGGGUCUGAGAGGAUGAUCCGCCACACUGGGACUGAGACACGGCCCAGACUCCUACGGGAGGCAGCAGUGGGGAAUUUUGGACAAUGGGCGCAAGCCUGAUCCAGCCAUGCCGCGUGAGUGAAGAAGGCCUUCGGGUUGUAAAAGCUCUUUCGGCCGGGAAGAAAUCGUGGUCUCUAACAUAGGCCAUGGAUGACGGUACCGGACUAAGAAGCACCGGCUAACUACGUGCCAGCAGCCGCGGUAAUACGUAGGGUGCGAGCGUUAAUCGGAAUUACUGGGCGUAAAGCGUGCGCAGGCGGUUUUGUAAGACAGAUGUGAAAUCCCCCGGGCUUAACCUGGGAACUGCGUUUGUGACUGCAAGGCUAGAGUACGGCG
rnacentral:rRNA from 1 species